GACGUAGGGUGCAAGCGUUGUCCGGAUUUACUGGGCGUAAAGAGCGCGUAGGCGGCUCGUUAAGUGAGAAGUGAAAGCUGUGGGCUCAACCCACAAACCGCUUUUCAUACUGGCGAGCUGGAGUGAUGCAGAGGUGGAUAGAAUUCCUGGUGUAGCGGUGAAAUGCGUUGAUAUCAGGAGGAAUACCCGUGGCGAAGGCGGUCCACUGGGCAUCAACUGACGCUAAGGCGCGAAAGCGUGGGUAGCAAACAGG
rnacentral:rRNA from 1 species